UGGUUUUGGAUUUGAUUCUGGAAUGGGUUUGGGGUUCUUUAUGUGGACUUGGUUUGGAUUGGGUUUAUUUGGUUUUGGGUUGGAUGUUUAUUUGGACUUGGUUUGGUUAGGUUUGGGCCGUUUGGCUUUGUAUGUGGACUUGGUUUGGUUUGGGUUUAUUUGGGUUUUGGGUUUUGUUUGGGUUUGAACUUGACUUGAUUUAGGUUUGGGUUUAUUUGGGUUUUGGGUUUUGUUUGGGUUUGAACUUGACUUGAUUUAGGUUUGGGUUUAUUUGGGGUCAAGUUUGGGUUUAUUUGUGGGUUUAUUUGUGGACUAGAUUUGGUUUGGGUUUGGAUUUAUUUGGGUUCGAGUUUGGGUUUAUUUGUGGGUUUUGGGUUUAUUUGGGUUCGAGUUUUUGGACUUGGUUUGGUUAGGUUGGGCUUUAUUUGGGUUCCAGUUUAGGUUUAUUUGUGGGUUUAUUUAUGGACUAGGUUUGGUUUGGGUUUGGGUUUUGGUUUUAUGUGUGGACUUGGUUUGGGUUUGGGUUUAUUUGGGUCCGAGUUUGGGUUCUGGUUUUAUGUGUGGACUUGGUUUGGGUUUGAAUUUAUUUGGGUCCAAGUUUGGGUUUAUUUGGGUUUGAACUUGACUUGAUUUAGGUUUGUAGGUGAACUUGAUUUGCAAUUUUAAUUUGCAAUUUGGAUUCGCAUAUGAACUUAAUUUGUGGUUUAAGUUCGUGUAUAAACUUGAUUUGCAAUUUGAUUUGGGGUCCGAAGAAAUCCCCUAUUGAUUUUGCAAUUGAAUUGGGG
rnacentral:lncRNA from 1 species